UACGGAGGGUGCGAGCGUUGUUCGGAAUUAUUGGGCGUAAAGCGCGUGUAGGCGGUUUGUUAAGUCUGAUGUGAAAGCCCCGGGCUCAACCUGGGAAGUGCAUUGGAAACUGGCAGACUUGAGUACGGGAGAGGGCAGUGGAAUUCCCAGUGUAGGAGUGAAAUCCGUAGAUAUUGGGAGGAACACCGGUGGCGAAGGCGGCUGCCUGGACCGAUACUGACGCUGAGACGCGAAAGCGUGGGUAGCAAACAGG
rnacentral:rRNA from 1 species